CUUUCUCGCUUUCCCCUCUUCUUCCUCGUCCGCCCUUCAUCCGUCACAUUUCCCACCCUUUGACGACAUCGCGACUUGCAGUCUUGCGCAUCGCGCCCAUCUUCGCGGCUUUACACCAAGAAAACGGUCAUACGCUGCCGAUCCGGGACUUGCUCAUAUAUAACGACCUUUGAUUCCUCUAGACUGACCCUUUGCGCCACAAUGCCUCUCACUGCCAGUGAUAUUUGCAAGUCAUCUUUGCCGUCAUUCUACCUCCCCUGGGAGUUUUCCUCGAGACGGGCUGCGGUGUCGACCUCCUGAUCAAUGCCGCUCUCACCAUUUUGGGGUACAUUCCCGGCAUCAUUCAUGCCAUCUACAUCCUCGUCACGAGAUAGCCUGUGUCUACGUUUGAGCUGUUGAUGGUAUGCAAACCGGAUGGCUUGACGAUCACGUGCCACGCGAUCGUUUUAGGCAGGUUCGUUUUAUUGAUCGAGGCAAAGCCAGGUUAAGGAAGAGGAUGCCUCGGAUGCGGGGUUUUGGCGCAGUUUCGCCGCGAGUCACGGUCUAGCAUCACAUGGGGCUGUUGUAUUUUGCAUGGUUUCCCGGCCGGUUUCCACUUAACGGGAAACGGAUUCUCCUGUGUCUGCAUGAGCCGAGCGCUUAUUAUGGACGAUUCAUGACGUCUUGGAUGUCUUAUAAUACCCAUCAAUUCCAGUUCGUACUU
rnacentral:lncRNA from 1 species